rnacentral:rRNA from 1 species
CAGCACCUCAAGUGGUCAGGAUGAUCAUUGGGCCUAAAGCAUCCGUAGCCGGCGCUGUAAGUUUUCGGUUAAAUCUGUACGCUCAACGUACAGGCUGCCGGGAAUACUGCAGAGCUAGGGAGUGGGAGAGGUAGACGGUACUCGGUAGGAAGGGGUAAAAUCCUUUGAUCUAUUGAUGACCACCUGUGGCGAAGGCGGUCUACCAGAACACAUCCGACGGUGAGGGAUGAAAGCUGGGGGAGCAAACCGGAUUAGAGACCCGAGUAGUCC